rnacentral:rRNA from 1 species
AGCUCCAAUAGCGUAUAUUUAAGUUGUUGCAGUUAAAAAGCUCGUAGUUGGAUUUCGGGUAGGGGGCGCCGGUCCGCUUCGGUGUGCACUGGCGGCCCAUAUCUUCUUGUCGGGGAUGCGUGCUGGUCUUCAUUGAUCGGCCGCAGAGUCGGCGCAGUUACUUUGAAAAAAUUAGAGUGUUCAAAGCAGGCUUUCGCUUGAAUACAUUAGCAUGGAAUAACAUGAUAGGACUCCGUUCUCAUUGUGUUGGUCUUCGAGACUGGAGUAAUGAUUAAGAGGGACAGUUGGGGGCAUUCGUAUUUCAUUGUCAGAGGUGAAAUUCUUGGAUUUAUGAAAGACGAACUUCUGCGAAAGCAUUUGCCAAGGAUGUUUUCA